rnacentral:misc_RNA from 1 species
UGACACUGGCAAAGAAUGAG